GUAGGUGGCAGGCGUUGUCCGGAAUUAUUGGGCGUAAAGCGCGCGCAGGCGGUUCUUUAAGUCUGAUGUGAAAGCCCACGGCUCAACCGUGGAGGGUCAUUGGAAACUGGAGAACUUGAGUACAGAAGAGGAAAGCGGAAUUCCACGUGUAGCGGUGAAAUGCGUAGAGAUGUGGAGGAACACCAGUGGCGAAGGCGGCUUUCUGGUCUGUAACUGACGCUGAGGCGCGAAAGCGUGGGGAGCAAACAGGAUUAGAUACCCUGGUAGUCCACGCCGUAAACGAUGAGUGCUAAGUGUUAGGGGGGUUUUCCGCCCCCCUUAGUGCUGCAGCUAACGCAUUAAGCACUCCGCCUGGGAGUACGGCCGCAAGGCUG
rnacentral:rRNA from 1 species